GUCAAAAGUAAGGUCAAAAUUUUUAGUUCAUUAAAAAAAAAUGCGUGUUGUAAGGAAACGUAAGUCCCAUAAGGUUCAUAAAGUCAAAACUAUAACAAGAAAAAUAUUUAGAGCUGAAUUUACUUCCAUUAAAAGCUCCCGAGGUCGAACAGGGUUGGAGAUCUUACGUGAAGCUGAAAUGGAAGAAAAUCGCAAAAAAAGGAAAAAGAAAAAGGUUCGGUUUUGAAAAAAAUGGUAAGAACUAUAGAAAUAAGAUCCACAAGUUUUUAAGUGGUAUUUUGUGGAAGGGUGAGCUACGAACCACUUAAGCAGAACAUCACAACCAUACAAGCACAAAUAAAAGACACAUGACACAGCCUACAACCCGGUAGAGUUUCUGAGUCUGGAAGAAACUGCUACUGUGAAGCCUUAAACACUUGCUCGCCUCCAAUUGAAUCAUGUAAGAUUGCAAUAAAUGCUACACAAUUACUAAAAAGAAAGAUAAGUGCACAUUUCUACAAGCCUUCAACGUAUAAAACAGAAAUCACAGAUCAUGAAAAUCUUUUGAAAUGUAACACACACUAAUACGAUUAGCAAUAAAAAUAAUUUAGAGGUGGAUUCGGAGAAGGCUAAAAUUCUCUAUAAGCAUGGAAAAAUCCACUUAGGAAAUAUGGUAAAUACAAACCAAACACAAACAGGUAUACAGAUAUACAGCACAGUGCGAGUUUAACCUCUAGACAGCAACAUGGAGAGAAAUUCUUUAUGCUCAAUUACCAUAUCUUAUUAAAAUUAAAAUUAGAAAAGUGUUUGAAGACCCAACUAUAAAAAUUUGAUAUAUAAAUUGUUUUAAUUGAUUUGGGGACAGAAAAGAGAAAGUCGUCUCACUAUCAAAUCAGAUGCUGCAAGCAAAAUCGACCUGGAAAUGAUAUUACAAAAAGUCACGAGGUUGGAGUAUAUAAUUAUAAGCAACAUACCAAUUUUUAAGACUUGCAAAAUCUUCUCGAUGAAAUGGUUCUGAUACUGACAACUCACUCAAGUAAAUAGACCAUAUAUCGAGAAGAAUCUAUAAUAAAAUCCUUUCGGAGAGCGUUCACUUACUUUUUCACACACUCUACGAAAUAUGUGUAGUCCUGAAGCAAUCUAAAAAUUAAUUAUACUCAUAAGAAAUUAAAUGUGACUUAAAAUUAAAUUAAUUUCAAAUUUUAAUUUAAAUGUAGCUCUUUCGGGAAAUGUCGACACAAUCAAGUGCAGAACUGAUGAGUUGCCCAAUGGCUGAUUGGGUGCAGAAUUCAAAAAAUCGAAAUCAAUUAAUUUUUUCCAUUUCGUUUAUGGAAUGUAGUAUGCCUUUAAGUAGUGAAAGUAAUCCACCGUUUCCAACUUAAAAUGUAUCAAAUUACUUAAAUUAAAGAAUACAUAAGGUAUAUUUAAACAACCUAAUCUCCAAGAGAGAUUGUUCUGGACACUAUCAGGAAAAAGAUAAAGUUGGGAUUGCUGCUGUUCUUAGAAAUAUACUAGAAAUGUUUGACCUGCGUAUAAUGGCAAGACAAAGUUAUUAGGCAGAAGUCCAGACAUGUGUCACAAAGAAAGUUUAAAACAACAUUUUAUGAAAUUCGACGGUGCCAGUAAACAACUCAACGUCUUAGAGUUCACAAAAUGAAUUAACCGGGUUUCCAAUCACAGAAAUGUACCAUAUGGUCGUACACAAUAUCAGAUUUUCUUAGUGUGGGUGGGUGUUUUCUAUUUGCUAGUGCUAUAGCCCAGUAUAGUCCAAGGCAUUGAAGAGAAACUUAUAAUAUGUAUGAAAAUUGGAAU